ACUCAAAUGAAUUGACGGGGGCCCGCACAAGCGGUGGAGUAUGUGGUUUAAUUCGACGCAACGCGCAGAACCUUACCAGGCCUUGACAUGGGAAGUGUGGGCUCCAGAAAUGGAGUCCUUCAUUUAGUUGGCUUCCACACAGGUGCUGCAUGGCUGUCGUCAGCUCGUGUCGUGAGAUGUUGGGUUAAGUCCCGCAACGAGCGCAACCCCCAUCUUCAGUUGCUACCAGGUUAUGCUGGGCACUCUGAAGAAACCGCCGGUGACAAGCCGGAGGAAGGCGGGGAUGACGUCAAGUCCUCAUGGCCCUUACGGCCUGGGCUACACACGUACUACAAUGGUGGUGACAGUGGGCCGCGAAGUCGCGAGACGGAGCCAAUCCCCAAAAGCCAUCUCAGUUCGGAUUGCACUCUGCAACUCGAGUGCAUGAAGUCGGAAUCGCUAGUAAUCGCGGAUCAGCACGCCGCGGUGAAUACGUUCCCGGGCCUUGUACACACCGCCCGU
rnacentral:rRNA from 1 species